UUGGCUGCUUUUAAAGAGGCUCUGGAACGGAUGAGAUGGCUCGGUGGCUACAGUGCUCACAGCUCAAGCUGGAAGGCCGGAGUUCAAUCCCCAGAGCCUUUGUCAAAAGCCAGGGCCCACGCCAACAUGCUGACGCUGAAGAGACACGGGGCAGAGGCAGGAAUGUUUCCCCGGACAGAAGCGCACGCCCUGGCCUGAGCACUUGCCCUCACAGACACGCAUGCUCACACAACAAAGGUCAACAGAGCCGGGCAUGUGGAGCACACCCUGCAUCCCAGCACUCAGACGGAGAGGAAGGAGGAUUGCUGUGAGUUCAAAGCCAGCCUGAGAGUACAGAGUGAUUUCCAAGGUUAGCCUGGGCUAGAGUGAGACCCUACUUCAAAACAGAAAGAAGAAAGAGAAUAUAUGAUAUACAGACAACAGACAGGUACAAAGUAAUCCAAGUCUCUAAGAGGUGCACAGUAUCAAAUGCACGGAAGAAGGCAGUACUCAAGGACAGCUUAUUUCAAGGGGAGCCUGGAAGCGGCAGGCAUGACCCCAGCCAGGUAACAUGGCAGGUUUUCUCAGUUUUCAGAACCUAGCUGGAUAUAUGAAUGAAGUCCCUCAGCUGUGGUGAUAUCCAGUAGAUUAUGUACUGUCCAGCCUGAUCAACAGAUGUCUACACACCUUGGCAAACGUGGGGAGACAUUAAUAAAGGUGACACAGUGGUGAUGACAUCAGUGAUGAUGGUGACAAUGAAGUCAAGCUUAUAUGGUGAAGAAGUAUCUCUGCAAGAAGUUAGCCAUUGCUGAGCUGGCGAGAUGGCUUAGCGGUUAAGGUGUUUGCCUGCAAAGCCGAAGGACCCAGGUUUGAAUCCCCAGGA